rnacentral:snRNA from 8 species
AUCGCUUCUCGGCCUUUUGGCUCAGAUCAAGUGUAGUAUCUGUUCUUAUCAGUUUAAUAUCUGAUACGUCCCCCAUCGGGGGACUACAUAUUAAAUGGAUUUUUCGAACAGGGAGUCGGAAAUGGGGCUUGCUCCGUCCGCUCCACGCAUCGACCCAGGUAUUGCAGUACCUCCGGGAAC